AUUGAACGCUGGCGGCAGGCCUAACACAUGCAAGUCGAACGAGUGGCGGACGGGUGAGUACUGUCUGGGAAACUGCCUGAUGGAGGGGGAUAACUACUGGAAACGGUAGCUAAUCCCGCAUACCAUCAGAUGUGCCCAGAUGGGCUUCGCUCGUGGGUGGGGUAACGGCCAACCAAGGCGACGACCCCUAGCUGGUCUGAGAGGCUGACCAGCCCGACUGGAACUGAGACACGGUCCAUACUCCUACGGGAGGCAGCAGUGGGGAAUAUUGCACGAGGGGCGCAAGCCUGAUGCAGCCAUGCCGCGUGUAUGAAGAAGGCCUGCGGGUUGUAAAGUACUUUCAGCGGGGAGGCGUUACCCGCAGAAGAAGCACCGGCUAACUCCGUGCCAGCAGCCGCGGUAAUAC
rnacentral:rRNA from 1 species